rnacentral:tRNA from 1 species
GGGACCGUGGGGUAGCUUGGCAUCCUUCCAGCUUGGGGUGCUGGUAACCCGAGUUCAAAUCUCGGCGGUCCCA